rnacentral:lncRNA from 1 species
GGAUGUGAAGGUGAGAAUGUUCGGGCGUUGCCUGCUGAUCCAGCACGUGCAGAGUCUUCUGCGUUUCAGUGUUCCUUGCUGCGUAGCAUCUAACAAAGGCGUCUUCUGCAUCUCCGAGUAGAGGGAACACUACUCUGCCCGGGUAAAGUUCCUUUCUCAUGUCUGGAAUAUCUACAGUUCUGGAACCGCAGGAGUGGUGAAACCCGUUGACACCUAAAGCCACAAGGUCUGCAGGUGAUUUGUUGGUUAACAAGAGAGAAACCAAGACACUCAUACAGGGGAAAUCCAGCGCACAUCUGUGCACAGAACAAUUCUUUCUGACUAAAGGUCUCCGAAGUCUGGCUAGCUUGGCCUCACUGGGAAUGGCGAACAUAGGCCCAUGCGCCCACCCACCUGUGCUCACAUGUCCUGAAGAAAUCUUCCACCUGGACCUGAAGCUCUUUUAUUCAGUCCGCAACAGUGGUUAUCAGCCUUCCUGACGCUGCGAGUCUUUAAUACAUUUCCUUGUGUUAUGGUGACACCCUCCCCAAUAAAAUAAUUUCAUUGCUA